rnacentral:misc_RNA from 1 species
GAUGAAGAACGUAGUGAAAUGCGAUAAGUAAUGUGAAUUGCAGAAUUCAGUGAAUCAUCGAAUCUUUGAACGCACAUUGCGCCCUUUGGUAUUCCGAAGGGCAUGCCUGUUCGAGCGUCAUUAUAACCACUCAAGCUCUCGCUUGGUAUUGGGGUUCGCGGUCUCGCGGCCCCUAAAAUCAGUGGCGGUGCCUGUCGGCUCUACGCGUAGUAAUACUCCUCGCGAUUGAGUCCGGUAGGUGACUUGCCAGCAACCCCCAAAUUUUUCAGGUUGACCUCGGAUCAGGUAGGGAUACCCGCUGAACUUAAGCAUAUCAAUAAGCGGAGGA